rnacentral:rRNA from 1 species
AACAGCUCAAAUUUGAAAUCUGGCCCCCCGGCCCGAGUUGUAAUUUGCAGAGGAUGCUCUUGGCAAGGCACCGUCCGAGUUCCCUGGAACGGGACGCCACAGAGGGUGAGAGCCCCGUAUGGACGAGCGCCGAGCCGCUGUAGAGCUCCUUCGACGAGUCGAGUAGUUUGGGAAUGCUGCUCUAAAUGGGAGGUAAAUCUCUUCUAAAGCUAAAUACUGGCCACAGACCGAUAGCGCACAAGUAGAGUGAUCGAAAGAUGAAAAGCACUUUGAAAAGAGAGUUAAACAGCACGUGAAAUUGUUGAAAGGGAAGCGCUCAUGACCAGACUUGCGCCUGGCGGAUCAUCCGGCGUUCUCGCCGGUGCACUCCGCCAGGCUCAGGCCAGCAUCGGUUCGCUGUCGGGGAGAAAGGCGAGGGGAAUGUGGCUCUUCGGAGUGUUAUAGCCCCCCGCGUAAUACCCUUCGGCGGACCGAGGUUCGCGCAUCUGCAUGGAUGCUGGCGUAAUGGUCAUCAGCGAC